rnacentral:snRNA from 1 species
AUACUUACCAGGGGAGAUACCAUGAUCAAGAAGGUGGUUCACCCAGGGCGAGGCUCAGCCAUUGCACUCCGGUUGCGCUGACCCCUGCGAAUUCCCAAAUGUGGGAGUCUCGACUGCAUAAUUUCUGGUAGUGGGGGACUGCGUUCGCGCUCUCCCCUG